CUCCUUCAACUUAACUUGAAGUAAAUCCAAGUUACUGUAAUCACAUGACUCAGAAGUGAUGGACUGUAAAAUUGCCUUUGUUAUAGCAAUUGCAUCAAAUUUAACAGAAACGCAUACCCAGGCCUUGUGGUGAAAAGACUGGUUGAUGGUGGCAUCAUUGUAAACAAGCUGGGCAAGAGUUGUUUUACCCAUCCCUCCCAUGCCGGCGAUGGAAAGGACUGAAACUCCGUUGGAGUUAUCACCUUUGAGAAACUCAAUCAUUUCUGUCUUCUCCUUGUGUCUGCCAACAUACUCCACAACUCCAUCCAGUACGGAAGUUGGUUGCAGCCUAGGUUGCUUUCCCUUGGAGGUUGGAGCUUGAGACAAGAUCUCACUCAACCCCAAACUACUUCUUCGAGUAGUCAAACUAUUCAGUCUAGCAGUGAUCUCUUUCACCUUGGGAAUCAUGGAAUUCUUAAACAGGAAAGAAGUGGGAGCGAAACUAGUACCAGUAAAGCAGGUAGGAAUGAGCUUCCGUACAUUGCUAGUGCUGGCUUGAGCUUGCGAUUUCUUAAGCUUGAGACGUAACUCUUCAUAAGCGAACUCAUCCAAGAUGUCAUCCACAUCGUAAGCCAAGUCCUGGAGAUCCUCCAACCAUUUCUUCACACCCAUGUUCUUGAUCUGCUUCUUCUCUGCAUCUUCCAACACUGCUUGGAUAUCAGGCAAUAUGGACUGCCACUGCUUGAGCUGCUGGUGGAGUUGGUUGUGAUUAGCAACAAAUUUGAGUGCAGAGUCGAGCGAUUUGCCCAACAACAGGUCCAGGAACCCAGAAAGAGCAGCCUCUCCAAUGACAGACAUGUUGGAAUUAUGAGAAAGAAGUUGAAAAGAGCAAUGAACAAAGCCAAAAUGGAAAGUCAGGGAACAAAAAGAGAAAGAAAGGGAAAUGGAAUCUGCAAAAUUAGAGAAAGUUGAAGAAGUUGGCACUAUUUUUUAAGCAUCCAAUAAUUCAGACUAUGAGUUGGGAAGGCAGUGGAACGUGAAAAAGGAUCCCAAGUGGUUGUUGAUGGGGAAAAGACAACGAAAGUGGAAAUUAAAGAGGUCCCAGUAGAGGUGAUCAUGGCUGGGCUGGGCCGGGUUCGGGUCGAGUUUGAAUAAAAUUUUAGACCCAUAUUUUAGGCCGGGCCAGACCGGGCUAAGAAAACAGGUCUAAAUUUUUGUUCGAGCCAAGCCCAAAAGAAAAUUACUAAGCCCAAGCCCGGCCCAACUUGCCCAUAUUAUUUUUUAUAGUUUAUUUCAUUAAAUAAAAAAUUUUAAAACAAAUAUUAAAACAAAAAAAAGACUAAAAUAAUUCUUAAAGCAAUACACAAAUUAAAAAUAUAAUAAAAAGUGGUUAUAUUAAAAUUGAAACAAAUUAGAACUAAAAUAAUAGCCAAAUUAAUAAUAAAACAAAAAUAUAUUUGUUUAAAAAUAAAAAUAUAUAUUUAAUAUAUAAUUCGGGUCGGGCUGGGUCCGGGUCAAAAAAGUUUUACCCCAGCCCGGCCCGUUUUUUAAACGGACCUCUUUUUUUUUUUGCCCAAACCCAUAUUUCGGGCCUAAAUUUUUAGCCGAACUGAUAUAAGAAUGCGCACGGACCAAGAUCGAGUUGCCAAGUCACGGAAAACUCUUAUGAAAACUUGAAACGAUCAGAUCUGAAACGAAUUAGCAUUCAAAUUAAAGAAAUCAAUCAGAUUUUAAAAAUAGACAAUUAGGAUUUGGGGCAGCAAGAAGAGAGGAAAAAUUGAGGGGUCAAACAGUUCUUGAAACCCAAAGGAGGUUGCAAUUCUGCCCAAUUGAACAACGGGGUAGUUUUCCCCAAAUUUUAGCAACCUAAUUUCACCAAAAAGGGAAGGAAUUUUAGUCGGCAAAAACCCUAGAAAUUGGAGAUUUUUGGUGCGAUUCUUGACUGCCAAGAGAGGAGUAUGGAUCGAUUUCUUUAAGUUGGAAUGAACUGAAAACACAACAAGAAGAUCGAUUAAAACAAGAUAAGCAAUCGGCACAAGGCAGAAUUUAAAGAAAAAAUUGACAGCAAGCAGAUAAAGAUAAAGUCAGCCUUGAAAUCCCAAGAGAUUUCACAACUCCCUUCAAACGGCUCUAAUCUUCCCUCCAAUGAAUAUCAAUGGCAAGAAGAAGGUUGAAGAUGGUUCCCACAAUCAAAAAGAUUGUUAAAACAACUUCUAAAAAAAACUCAAGAGAAAAUUCUUAGAGAACUCAAAGAGAAUUUUCACUCAAAACAAAUCUGAAAUUUUCAAUGUGUUUCUUAUGUGUCUUACAAGGGUGGCCGGCCAUGCCUAUUAAUAGGCCUUAAUAUUUUCCUAAUCCUAUUAGAAAACUAAAACUAAAAAAACUCCUAAUUAAAUAUUAAAGAGAAAUUCGAUCAAGGGCUUUAAAUUGGGCCUCUUGAACAGAAUAUUUACAUAACAAUUAAUUUAGAAAGUCUAAAAUUGAAACUAAGAAUUAAUUUUUUACAAAUUGGGCCACUUUACAAUUUGGCCCGAUUUUCAACUAAGUAUGAUUUUAACUUUUUGGUUGGGCUUUGGAAUCGUCUCAUUGGGCCUUGUGGUAAUUUGAGCCCAUCACGUUCUUGAGCUUGAGUUGGGCCUUUGUGACUCGUAUCACGAACCCUCUCAUUUUUCGAGCGGGCCAUCGGGCCGGGCCGGGUAACCCAACCCAUAUUACCUCUAGGUCCCAGUCCAUGAAAUUAUUGCACCCUCUCAUUUCAUAUCUCCCUGCAAUUAUUUGAAUAGCUUUUCUUUAAUUUUUCAUCUAUUUUAAUCAUUGAAUUUGUAUUUAUUUUUAUUAAAUCACUUCAAAAUAAAUAGAAAACCUAAAAGGGUAUACAAUCUUAACAAAGAUAAAAACAUUAAAAUUUUUAUUUAUUUUGAAAUAAUUUGACAAGAAAAUACAAGUUCAAAAGCUAAUUCUUUUUCAUAAAAUUAGAUAACCAAAUCUUUAUGUAUUUCUUUUAUGAGACAAAAGUGGAUUAAAGUGUUUGCAACUCUAAAAUGGAUGGCCGCUCUUUUAUAGGUAUAGAAUUUAAUGAUUCUUAAGAUAAUUUGUUGUGGUCAUUUGAGUUGUUAAUUUGUUAAUAAUAAUAAGGAGAACGAAUAGAAAGUAAUGGCUUGGCUCAUGAAUAAACGACCAAUCCCCGAUAGAAGAGAAGGUUCCAUUGGAACUAUUAUUUAUUUCAGGGUGUCUUGUCUCUCUCUUUUUUUACUUAAAAGAGAGAGAGAGAGAGAGAGAGGAAGUGCUAACAGAAAUGGUAAGAAGAUAUUGGAACAUAAAUUUGGAAGAGAUGUUGGAAGCAGGAGUUCAUUUUGGUCAUGGUCUACUUAUGGCUUCGUGCACUAUUUGUUAGAAUGCAUCAAACACAAAUCUUAAGAUUAAAUUAAAUUCUAAAAAAAUACUAAUACAAAUAAAAAUAUUAAAAUUCAAGAUAAAAAUAUUGAUGUGACAUUAAAUUAUUGAAAAUGGAUACAAAUAUGAUGGUAUCCCAAUUUUAUACUAUCAUAUUCCUCCAAAAUAAUUUUCCUUUUAAUAUGUAUAUUAUACUUUUUGGUUUUGGGCAGAAAUGGAUUGCAAAUGGAAUUUCUUUUCUUCUAUAGUUCUAAUUAUGUUCUUUCUUUUUCUCUUGUAUAAUAUUUCGCCGCCACGCCACCUUCCCAAUUUUUUCCCCUUCUUUUAUUUAAUUCUUGUUGAAUUAUUAGGGGUGUGUAAAUUUUGGAUAAAACCAAAUUAAUUUGGUUAAUUAAACAGUUAAUCGAAUUAAUUCGGUCAAGGGUCAGUUAAUAAUUUUUUGAAAGUUCAGUUAAUGGUUAAUUAGAUAAUUAGUGAACUGAACAAAGACAAAAUGGAAACCCAGGGACCAAAAUAGAAAGAAAGAAAGAUGGAUUCUGUGUAAUUAGUGAAAGUUGAAGAAGUUGGGACAAUAUUUUUUUAAGCAUCCAAUAAUUCAGACUAUGACUUGGAAGGCAUUGGAUUAUGAUAAAGAAGAUGGAUCCCAAGUGGUUGUUGCUGGGAAAAGCAAAUGAAAGUGGAAAUUAAAGAGGUCCCAGUCCAUGAAAUUCUUGCACCCUCCCAAGUGGUUGUUGCUGGGAGAAGACAAUGAAAGUGGAAAUUAAAGAGGUCCCAGUCCAUGAAACUAUUGCACCCUCCCAUUUUUCCGUCCCCGCAUUAGCUUUUCUUUUAGGCAUAAUGAUUACUCCUAAUUUGCAUAAAAAAUAAUUUUAACUCUUAAGUUUAUCUUUCAAUCAAACCACUCUAAAAUAGACCCGACAUACAUGUGAAUUAUAAUCUAGAAAACACAUUAACAUUUAAUUAAUUUUUAAAAUUUAAAAAAUUAAUUAAGUGAACAUUAGUAAAGUUAAAAAAAGUUACAAAUUUAUGGGCUAAAAAAUAAAAAUUUAAAUAGAGAACUAAUUUUUUUUUAAGAAGUCGAAUAAAUUAUUAUGUCUUUCUUUUAUUGGAUCAAAAUAGAUUAAAAUGUCUGCAAUUCUAAAAUGGAUGGACUUAGUAUUUGGAUACAUUAUUAUUUUUACUGGAGAUCGAGAAAAGAUGGACUUUCUAUGAGCCCAUUUUUCUGAUAGGAUUUAUUACCACUUUAGCAACUUUGGCGAUUUAGUCAAUUACUCGAGAUUCACGAUUAUUUUAUUUCUUGAUGCUAGCAAUGUAUAGUGAUCAAAUAGCAUCAUUUCUUCUUAAGACCUUUUACUUUUUUCAUCAUGUGGGAGUUUGAAUUAAUUCUCAUUUAUCUAUUUCUAUCCAUGAAGGGGAAGAAACAUCUAUGCUCGGUUACAAAAUUUAUUUUGUACAUUGCAGGCGGUUUCAUUUUUCUAUUAAUAGGAGUUUUGCGUCCCGGUUUAUACGGUUCUAAUGAACCAACAUUAAAUUUUGAAAUAUUAGAUCAUUUAGAUAAUCAAUCAUAUCCUGACACACUAGAAAUAAUAUUCUAUAUUGAACUUCUCAUUACUUUUUCUAUCAAAUUGUUGACUAUACUCUUACAUACAUGGUACGAUAUAAAAAAUUUCAAUAAAAAAAUAUAAAAUUAUUAAAUAUUAAAAUAAUAUAAUAUAAAUAUUUUUAAAAAAAUAAAAUUAAUAUGAACAGGGCUAACAUGAGUUUGGAUUAAUCUUAUGUAAAUAUAGACGGGUUUGAGCAACAUUUUAAGCCUAAAUUUUAGGCUGGGUCAGAUUUAGAUAAACAUAAAGUAAGUUAAUAUCAUGCUUAGACCCAACCAGUCUAUGAAUAUAUUUACUAACGAGGGACCUUUGUUUUGAAUUUUGUAAUAGCCUUUGUCCAUUGUCCCGAUUUCCAAGUAAAUGAACGUUGAGCUCCAUGCCAAUGGCAUCAAAAUAAUUAUCUCCAUUAACAACAAAAUAUAGUCCAACACAAGAAGGGAGUACUAGAAGAACAUAUUCUCCAUCUCAUAAACAUUUGAUAACAUCACUGUUGAAGCCUUUCAAAGCAGGGGAAAUCCAUAUAAAGUGUGAUAGAAAGCCCACUGUGACACAUUUAGCUUUCAAGCUUCAGAUUCCCUGUCUUACAAAAAUGACCAAAUAAUAUAUCACGUUUACAAUAUUAUCUGUCUUACAAAAACCAAAUAUCAGUGAACCACCAUCUUUGCCUAUCUUUUAAAGGGUUUCAUACAUGUGGUCUGAGCAUGACAAAAUAAGGGAUGCUCUGAAAUUUUGAUGAUGCAUCCAUCCAUGAUCACAGCAGUUGUGUACGAAAAUGAAAAACAACAUACUUUCUUUAGAAUGCAAAAAACUUGAUUAUAUUGAUAUGAAGCAGUAACCAAAAUGGUUAAAUGAAGUUUUUCAGUCAGUCACUUAGACACUGAGUUCAUUAAUGUCGUUCAAUCCACAUGAUCGAAAAAGCAGUUCCUCAUCAAGUGAAUUAAUGCAGCUCGAAAGUAGCUUUCAAAUGGAUGUAUCAUCUGAGAAUUUCCAAGAACUAGGAUGGCCAACUUUGAGAUCAGCAGACUAUAGUUUGUGGGAACACUGAGGCUGCAAGUUCAAAAGAAGUAUAAUCUCAAUGUCAUCAGUGUUUUACAAGUGAGAAAACCCCAAAUUGCAGGUCAGUGAACUCUCUUGUGUUAAUGCUUAAAUCUAGCUCUUUAACUACAUGCCGUACUGCGUAGUGUAUCCCUUCCUUAUCCUGAGAGGAUCAAUAAUAGACUGGUGACGACUCGUAUCCUUACACAAUAACAGGAAUCUGUCCACAAAGAUCAUAUGAAACUAUCAAGUAAAUUAAGACUUAUUCUUUUGAAAUACCAUUGGUCAAUAUUACAAUGGAAUGUCAAAUAUUUUCAACUAAAAUCCCAUUUCCAAGUACAAAGGUUAUAACAAUUGCAUUUGAAAACAUUGUCUUAAAAAAAAAUAGUUAAUAUAUUAUGGAAAAUUUUAGAAAGAUGAAGAGAAAGUCUAGGAUUGGCAGACCAAUGUCGAAAAGAAGGAUCGACUGACUAUACGGCAUAUUCCAAGUCCAUUCCAAAAUUAGUCUGUGCCAACCCAUAUUCUGAGAGCUAAGCAAACAUAUACGCAAAGGAAGCUUAGAAAUCAGAACAUGCAGAUGAAAACUGAACAUUCAAUUUGCUGAACAUCAAAUCAAAUAAGCUAAAAGGAAGGCUAGUUGAAUUCAUCCGCUAUUUUUGCCAAAUUAGUUUUCAAUGCCUGAAAAAUUGAAUACAAAUUAUAUAAGACUGAUUGCUAUUAUCUUGUUAUUCUGAGGACAAUCACAUAUGUGGAACUAUGGAACUAAAAAUGCUAUGAAAUUGCUUAAUGUUUAAAAUGGUUUCACACCUGUGGUUUAAGUGUGGAGAAACCAGUGCCAGGUUUUGCUGCUUUACUUUCAAUCUAAUUCCCUUGGGAUGACUGUUUUAUACUGAAAACGGACAUAAGGGAUGUGGGCAAUCUUGGACCACUGUCGACCUUUACCCCUACUGCACCCUUCUUCUAGCAACGGGCAAUUGAAAAUAUGUAGCUGCUCAAGUGAGAGAAGCAUAUCUUUUUCUGGAAGAGAUGUGAGUUUUGGACAAUUACUUAUUUCCAAUUCGUGAAGUGAAGUGAGGUGUUGAAAGCCCUUGGAGCACAUGAAUUCCAAAUUCUCAAAAUUUUCAAUGCAGAUAGAUGUUAGAGAAGGAGGCAGCAUUCUUCCUAUCCCUUCUUCUGGAAAUGACACCACACGUGAGCAUCCCUCACCGCCGAUAUUGAGCUCUUGAGUGGAGGUGAGUCUAUUUAAUCCCCAUUCAACAAGUGAUGUAUACAUUUUGGGUCCAUUUGAGAUUUCAAGUGAUGUGAGAUUCGUAGGGAAACCCUCUUCUGGGAAUGACACCACACGUGAGCAUCCCUCACCGCCAAUAGUGAGCUCUUGAGUAGAGGUGAGUCUAUUUAAUCCCCAUUCAACAAGUGAUGUAUAUAUUUUGGGUCCAUUUGAGAUUUCAAGUGAUGUGAGAUUCGUAAGGAAACCUCUUCUGGGAAGGAUAUAUCAGCUGAACACUAUAUAAAUAGUUAAAUGAAAAGACAAAAAGCAAACUCGUAAUAUUAUUUGUUAUCUUUUAAAUAAGGAUUUUUAUUUAAAGUUAUUUUUCAACCAAAUUGAUCUUUAGUUAAACUCGUGGCUUCAACUCAGUUAUAUAACUAUAUAUAGUAUAAUUAACAAACAAUAAAAUUGAAAUUGACAUACAUGUAUGCUGUGUGUAGCCUUAAAUACUCCUGUUUCAUGGUGUUAACCUCAAUUCCUUGCAACUUCUUUUUUUUAACAAAAAAAAAAGAAAAAUACGCACACACAAUAUUAGAAAUGUAAUUAUUAUUAUCGAUCGAGUCUUAAUUCAAUUGGCAUUAAUAUUAUUAUUUAUGCAAAGAGGAUAUCAAUAUAUAUAUAUACCUCAACUUGUUGCUCAUCAAAAGGGUGUUCUUGAGAAUGAUCUUCUUCCAUUCCUUUGCUGUACCUUGAAAGAGUGUAUUCUAUGCUACAUCCCUAAAAUGUCAUGUUUAAAAAAAUAACAAUAAAUUAAAAAUAAAAUUCUAACUCAUUAUUAUUGUUUGGACUUGAGCCGAUCAAAUUUAUGACAAGUUAUUCUUAACUUAUCGGAACUAUUUAUAUAUCAUUUUUGUUUUAAUAUGAGCAUGUGUUGUAAAAGUAUUAUAUAUAUAAUAUACUUGCAAAUAUUUCUUAAUUAUAAUAUGUAAAUAUAAAUUUUAAAAUUAUUAAUUAAUUUCAAUAAUUUAAUGAAUGGUUAUAUAUUAUUUUUAAAAGCAAUUAUAUAAGAAAGUAGUUAAGAAAGAAAAGAGAAAUAUUAAAAAUCCCUUUAUAGGAAUUAAUACUCAACGAUACAAGAAUAUAUUAAUUGAAAUGAGUCAAAACUCAAUGAAAUUUUAAUUGAUGUGAAACUUAAACUAUUUUAUUCUAGUUCAAUAUUGAGACGAUUCAUAACGAUUGAUACAACCAGUAUCGAAACUACCGACUACCAUACUACAAAGCGAAAAGAAAAUAAUGGAAAUCAAUCAAAUUACAACUCAACUUACUUUCAUGCUUAGAAAAAAAACAGUUCUAAAAAAUAAUCAUCCAAGAAAAUAAAUAUAUAUAAGUUUUAUAGACCGUUACAAACUAAUAUACACUCAUAUAAGUCGAUAUUAAUCAAAACACAAUAAAUUUUUAACUGAAACGAAACUUAAACUACUUUAUAUUAAUUCAAUAUUGAGACGAUAGCCAAUUAUUAAGAAAAGAAAAACAAUGGAAAUCAAUCAAAUUAUAGGUCAACUUACUUUCAUGCUUACAAAAGAAAUUGCUAAAAUUAAAAAUUGAAAAAAUCCCAGAUUUCGAUUAUUAAAAAUCAUCUAUAAUAUAUAUAUAUAAAUAAGUAUUAUACUAUAUUAUAUACCUAGUGCUGGACCAUUGAUAGACCUUGCCGCUGCUUGAAAAAAUAAUAACCCCAACCUCUGCAUCACAUAAAAUGGACAAUUCUUUAGCUUUCUUCAACAACCCAUUUUGCCUCUUUGAAAACGUUACUUGCUUGCUAUUCAAAAUUUCAAUCUUUUUUAUUUGAAUUUUCCCUCUACCCAUCUGAAAAUUUUCUUCUUUCCUUUACUUUUUCCCGGAAAAUUUUUAAAGGAAAAGUUAAACCCCAGAUUUUUUUUUUCUUAAAUUUUGAAAAAAACCAAAGGUUUUUAUAACAACAAACCGAUCAAAGAAAAUAAGGCAAAAAAUUUAGGGGAUUGUAAAAGGAUUCUUUUUUUAAGAGAAAAGAAAAUAAGUAAGUAAUGUUUAUAUAUAACAAUGGUUUUCUUAAAUGGAAAUGGAAAAUGAUAUGGAAAAAGAAAAUAUGUGACCAAAAUUAGGGUGAAAGCUUGAAAGGUGACAGAUUUGAUACUAUAUCUACCAAUUAUCCAACUAUGGAAACUCUAUUUAUUAUAAGUUUAGUUUAUUUUUUCUAUUUAUCUUAAUUUCUCUACCUUUUUACUCUCCUGUUUUUGGUAUUUCAACUCAAAAUGGAUUUUAUUUUUGCUUUGGGUUUCUUUUUUUUAAUAUAAAAAGUGGUUUUUAAUUAUUUAUAUAUUAUUAAUGUGUUUUAACAAUUUUUGUUAGUGAAUAUUGAUUUUUUUUUUGUGAAUUACAAUAGGAGGGCAAAGCCCUAAUAACAACACGACUAGUGCAAUUCGAAUGUAGGCCACACUUGAGACGUUGAACACAAGUAUUUCACGAGGACAUAUAACACAUGUUUUUUGUUUUUAAAUUCAUGGCUAAAAUAAUAAAAAAAACCUCUUUAUUUUAUUGUAUUCAAAUAAUAAUAAAAACCAUGGUUUUAGUCGCACCGGCCGGUGCCGCCGUUCUACUGUUAUAGCGCAACAAGCAACACCCUUUUCUAUACUAAUGAAAAUUUUGGCUUGUACCGUUCGCAUUGACCGAAACAUGGUACACUUGCUGCUGCAUGAAUAGUGUUAAAAAAUAUAAAACUUUUAAUUGUAUGUUUUCUAUUAGACUAAUAUUUAAUUGAAAUGUAUUGACCAAUAAAAAAAAUAUUACACUAGAAAGUAAAGUUUAACAUUUAAAAUUUUUUUAGAGCAUACUUUUUCAUUUAAAAUAUAAAAAUUAAAAUAUAAUAAAAAAACUCACUCACCUCGUUAUCAUAGAAAAAUAUCCACUCGCCCUUAAACUUUUUUUAUUGAAAAAAUCCUCUCAUCCUUCGAUUUUUUUUUCUUCUUAAUUUUGAAUUUAUUAAAUGAUGAGUUUUUACUUGUGGAGUUUAUUAAUCAAUAUUUUAUAUAAUUGAUGAAUAGUUUUAUAUUAGAAAUUUAUUUAUAACAAUUUAUUUGAUAUUUGUAUAUUUAUUUAUAUAAAUAUAUUAAAUAUUUUAAAAAAUAUCUAUAAAUUCAAAGUGGUACAUAAAAUAGACUAGUAUCAAUACAUACCGGUUCUCAUAGAAAAGUAGUACUUACACCAAUGUGGUAAUGGCUACCUUGAAAGCAAGUAUGUGGGUGGCUAUAAUGUUUGAUGCUUUAUUUUCUUUGAAUAUUUUGCUUUGAUGCUUUUGAUAUGUGCUGAUCUUUGAGUGUAACCUUUGGGAUAUAUAUGGCCAUCUGAAUUUUUAUGAUUUGCUAUGCAUUGAUUUUGGUUGUUUUAUUAAUAAAUUUAUGUUUUGGAUUGAGAAAAAGAAUAAGAAAUUCAAAACACAAAAAAGAAAGUAGAGAAAGUGAACAUAAUAAUAUACGUGGUUCGCGAAUAUUCCCUACAUCCACGGGCAGAACCAAAAACGAAAUUCACUACUAAAAAUUGGAGAUUACAAUAGAAUUACAUCAUAAAAAUAAAAUACCUUGCCAAUAACUAUCCACAAACUUUGAAUGGAUUCAUGGUCUUAGAAAUUCGAAAAACUAAGAUGGACAUCUUUGAGAUUGGACAGAACAAUAUUUUGGGAACUCUGUUAUCUUACAUGUGUUAAAUUGAGCUCUCUAAUACCAUGUUGUAACGUGUACUGUAUCCCUCCAUUCAUCCUGCAAGGAUCAAUACCAUGUCUACAGUGAUGACGAAAUCUGUUGGCACUGAUAUCCUUAUGCAAUAACAGAAAUCUAUCCACAAAGAUCAACAAACUCUCACGUAAAAGACUUGUUCUUCUGAAAAACCAUUGGUUAAUAGUACUACGAAAUGUCAAAUAUUUUUAACUAAGAUCCCAUUAUCAUAUACCAAAAUAGCUUAGAUAUUGGAAGAUGCAAAUGAAAACAGGACAUUCAAUUUGCUGAAUAAAUGUUGCAGAGAAUUGACUAACCGCUUUACUAAAUCAAAUAAGCUGAAGCAGAUGAGUUGAAGUUCACUAUUUUUCGCCAAUUUAGCCUUCAAUGCCUGCAAAAAUUGAAUACAAAAUAUAUAAGAUUCAUUUCUGUUAUCAUGCUGUUCAUGAGGUCAAUCAGAUAUAUAAAAAAUAAAGCUAUGAAAUUUAUAAAUGCUUAAAAUCCAUUUCACACCUGUGGUUUGAGUGUGGAGAAAUCGAUACCAGAUUUUGCUGCUUAACUUUCAAUUUAAUUCCCUCGGGAUGACUGUUUUAAAAUCAAUUUUAACAAAAGGUAUGUGGGAAAUCUUGGACCACUCUCGUCCUUUACCCCUACUGCACCCUUCUUCUAGCUAGCAACGGGCAACGCCAAAUAAAUAGACGCUCAAGCGAGAGAAGCAUAUCUUUUUCUGGAAGAGAGGCGAGCUUAGGACAAUCAUAGAUGGCCAAUCGUUGAAGAGAGGUGAGGUGUUGUAAGCCCUUGGAGCACAUGAAUUCCAAAUUUUCAAAUCUAUGGAUGCUGAUAUCGGUGAGAGAAGGAGAAGCAUCAUUCCUAUCGCUUCUUCUGGAAAUGACACCACAUGUGAGCAUCCUUCACCGCUGAUGUUGAGUUUUUGAGGAGAGGUGAGUCUGUAAAAUCCCCAUUCAACAAGUGAUGUAUAAAUUUUGGGUGCGUUUGAGAUUUGAAGUGAUGUGAGGUUGGUAGGGAAACCCUCUUCUGGAAAGGAUAUGUCAGCUGAACACUUCCACACUGCUAAUUCUCGAAAGGAGGUGAAGUUGUUGAUGCACUUGGUAAGGGCUCUAAAAUUUUCACAACCCCCAAUUGAGAGAACUCUGAGAUUUGUGGUGGGCAACCCACUUUCUUCCAAUGAAACAAGAUUUGGACACCUAAAUAAUCGAAUCUCCUGAAGAUGGCUGAGCUUGUCUAAUCCCCGAGGUAAUGAUUUAAUUUUUUCAGCAUCAUGAAUGACAAUGCUUUCGAGAUCAGUGGUUUCAAGGAAGUCUUGGGCUAUGCAUUCCAACAUUGGACAAUCCCCGAUAAAUAACUGUUUAAGCAUUACGGGUAACUUGGCAUUUAAAACUAAGCUACUUAGCUUUGAACAACAUCGAAUUUUGAGAUGUUGAAACCGAUUGCAUAUAUCGUCCCUUGAUGAUAACCAUAUUAGAGAUGGACAGCAGCUUAUAUCUAAGCGCUCAAGAAGACAAGUGUUGGUACUCAUACUCUUAUUAGUAUUUUCUUUUUCAUCAACCAAAUAUUGCAAAUUCACGCAAUUCACAAUCCUCAGCUCUUUUAAAGCAGGGGGAAAGUUACUCUCUGCAAAACAAACCAAGCCGGGACAGUCUCCAAGUGUUAUUCUUGUAAUGAAUGGGAAAGCAUGUAAGGCUUCUGGUAGUCUACUGAGCCUUUCACAAUCUCUUAUAAACAGAGAUUCAACACCUGGAAUCUUGUCAAGUUGCAAUCUCUCCUCCUCUGCUGCCAAAGAGACCAAUUGGGGACAACUGACAAUCUCAAUGAAUCGGUGCCCGACUAAUCUUAACCCAAUUUGCGAUAAAGAUCCCAACUCCCAACCAGAGAUCUUAAAUGUUUCGGAGUUUGCAAAUCUCAAAAGUAUCCUCUCUGCCGAAAUAUUACACUUUGAAAUAUUUGAAAGAGACGCAUGUUUCAAAGAGGUAACCUUCUGUACAGACAAAGAACCUUCAUCCACCAAUUCUUCACACCCUGCAAUGCUUAAUUCACACAGCAAGGGAAAACUUGAAAUUGAAACUACCAGUCUCUGACACUCAUAGAUUUCAAGUUUCUGCAAGGAUUGAAGGAUGGUUGGCAACCUUCCCAACAAUAGAGGACAUUUUGUGAUUGAAAGAAAACGAAGGCUGGGGAAUUUCGAUACUUGCUCAUCAUCUUCACAAAGGUCCCACUCCUCCCAAUUCAGCAUAUUGUCAAAGCACAAAGAUUCUAAUGAUGCAAAAGCAUUUGAUUGAUUUUCUCCUAACAACUCAGCACCAAUCUUGUGUACUUGACGCAAACCACCAAUUGAAAGAUCUUUUAACAACAGCAACCUUCCAAUCGAUGGUAGAGAUUUGCAAUUUUGACAGUUGCGGAGCUCCAAUGACAACAUAUUUUUGAAGGAAGAAUCUGCAAUCCAAGUAGAGAAUUUUGCACCACUAAAAUUCUGAAUGACGAGUUGCUCAAGCUUUUUCGAAGGAUGAAGAGAAUCUAACACCCAUUCUUCAACUUCUUUUUUCCUUGUGUCCCAACUCCAUUUCAAUACCAAUCAAUCAAUCCCCUGCUUCUCAUUUAACUUGGCUUCCCCUGCAUCUUCAUUAACAUUCUCCAACCCAGAAAGACAAAAAUAACCUUUGAGGUUUGACAAAUAUUUCAAUUCUCUGAUACUAUGUCCAUCACCUUCCCCUAUGAUAAAAUUUGAUAACCUUUGAAGAUUCGUUAGCUUAUCAAUUCUGAAAGGAAUCCUUUCUAUUAAGUCAGCAACUUUGAUAUUGAGAUAAUGUAAGUUGACAAGAUUUCCCAUCUUUGAAGGUAACCUUUGAAGCUUCCAACACCGUCUCAAUAAUAAAGUUUCCAAAUGGUAAAGAGUGCACAAAGAAUCAGGUAGGCAUUUGAUAUGGGUGUUAGAAAAAUUCAAGUAGCGAAGAUGUUUUAAAUUUUCAAAAACAUCAGGUAACUCUUUUAUCUUAUACCCACUCAAACAAAGCACCCCUAAGUAGCCAAGUCUUGGCAACAGAUCAAGCAAAACAACAUUAGUUAAAAAAGGCCCCCAAACAUAAUUUCUAGAAAAUAUUAAGGGUAGAAAAGUACGUAAUGAUUUCACUUGAUCAAAUGCUUCGAACUUCUUCACUGUGUCAUAUUCUCCAGCAAUAUAAGAAGAAUGCCGAGUGCGAUUCGAUAACUUUUGUUGCAUAUCACCCUCCUGUUUGGAGCAUAUGUCUCCCGCAACUACUUGAGCUAAAUCAUUGAUGAAGUCAUGCAUUACAAAUCAGGACUCAUCUUUACUGGAUGUCUGAAAAAAUGACCUUGACACUAGAUCUUGAAAAUAUUGAUUUCCAAUAUCUUUAACUUGAGGCAUAGCCUUUUGUUGCAAGAGACCUUCUGCUCUCCAUAACAAGAUAAUUUCUUCUUUUUCAAAUUCAUAAUCUUUAGGAAUUAUGGAGCAAUAUGCAAAACAUCGUUUCAAGUAUGACGGAAGAUGAUGGUAGCUUAAUCGCAAAGCUGGAAUUAUGCCACACUGCUCUUCUGGUAAGUUCCAUAUCUCACUCUCAUAUAUUCUUUCCCAUUCUCGAUGAUAUUUAACUGUGCGUAGCAAGCUUCCAAUAGCUUUUGCAGCCAAAGGUAAGCCAUUGCACCUUCUAAUAAUUUUCUCUCCAAUUUCUUUGAACUGGGGAUGUCCAUCGAAAUUUCUUGCUUUUAAUGCAUGCUGUGUAAAUAUCGAUAAACAAUCAUCAUCUGAUAGUUUAUCCAAAUGAAAAACUUUGAGGGGAUCCACAAUAGAUGAAACAAUUUGAAGACGAGUGGUUACAAUGAUAGUGGUCCCUGCUCCAAACGGAGACCGUAAGAUGGUCCAAUCAUUAUAAUUCUCGUUCCAAAUGUCAUCUAAAACAAGCAAGAAUCUUUUCCCAGACAACUUCUCCUUCAACUUAACUUGAAGUAAAUCCAAGUUACUGUAAUCACAUGACUCAGAAGUGAUGGACUGUAAAAUUGCCUUUGUUAUAGCAAUUGCAUCAAAAUUAUCAGAAACGCAUACCCAGGCCUUGAGAUCAAAAGACUCGUUGAUGGUGGCGUCAUUGUAAACAAGCUGAGCAAGAGUUGUUUUACCCAUCCCUCCCAUACCGACGAUGGAAAGGACUGAAACUCCAUUGUAGUUAUUACCUUUGAGCAACUCAAUCAUUUCUGUCUUCUCCUUGUGUCUGCCAACAUACUCCACAACUCCAUCCAGUACGGAAGUUGGUUGCAGCCUGGGUUGCUUUCCCUUGGAGGUUACAGCUUGAGACAAAAUCUCACUCAACCCCAAACUACUUGUUGAAGCCGUGGCCUGCAUUGCAACAAAGAACCAACAGCAACAAAUUGGUCAAAAGACCAGCAGCAGCAGCAAAUUGUACAAUUUUAGCUGCUAUACUAUUUUGUAGCAAAGAAAUGGAGUUGGUUCAGUUAUAAAAUUAUUUUUUGAAUACUUGUUCCUAUGGAACUUAGCCUAAAUCUUUGUAAUGAGUUAGCUAAGUUAGUAGGAAAGAUUGACUGAUGUAAUAGCUGGUAUGCCAGCUUUCUUUUGUAUACAAGUUGCUAUAUUUUUUAGUAAGUAUUAAGUAAGAGCAGUUAAAUUAGUAGGUAACUGUCAAAUACUUUUGUAACCUUCAUAUAUUCAAAAUUUGAAUGAAACUAUGAUGACUUUUCAUUUUACAAAUUUUCUUGCUGAGUUCUUUUCUUUUGUUUUUCUUUCAUUCGUUUUUUACUUUCUUUGCUACUGCCAUUUAUCCAACAAAUGGUAUCAAGAGCUUUCAGUCUUUGAGGGCCUUGGUUGUACACUGUCACUAAGCAAAUUGUGUUUGAAACAAAAGAAGAAGAGGUUGUUUUGCUUGCUGAAAAAUGAGUUUUACACCACCUCUUCCACCUGUCUUUGCUGGAGAAAAUUACAACAUCUGGGCAGUGAAAAUGAGAACAUACAUGCAGGCACACGACCUGUGGAAUGUUGUUCUCAAUGACACUGAGCCACCACCACUAAGAGCCAACCCGACUAUAGCCCAGAUUAGGCAGCACAAUGAAGACUGUGCCAAGAAGUAUAAGGCUAUGUUGUGCCUUCAAAGUGGAGUUUCUGAUGUUAUUUUCACAAGAAUAAUGGCUUGUGACUCUCCAAAGCAGGCCUGGGACAAACUCAAGGAGGAGUUUCAGGGGUCUGACUAGACCAGGCAACAGCAGCUGAUCAACAUGAGAAGAGAUUUUGAAAAUCUCAAAAUGAAGGACUCAGAAACCAUCAAGCAGUAUGCUAACAGAAUCAUGGCUACUGUCAACAACAUAAGGCUGCUUGGGGAAGAAUUCAGUGACCAAAGAGUGGUUGAGAAGGUCAUAACAACCUUGCCAGAGAAUUAUGAAGCAAAAAUUUCUUCUCUGGAAGAUUCAAGGGACUUGUCAACAAUCCCUUUGACAGAGCUUAUAAAUGCUCUCUAUGCUCAAGAGCAGAGAAGGGCAAAUAGGCAGGAGGACCACUAUGAAGGAGCUUUUCAGGCUAGAAGCAGAGAAAGCUCAAGUGCAAACUUAAAUGCCAAAGGCAAGAAGCCCUGGACUGAGAAGAAGAAGAAAGAACCUGUCAAAAGGAAGUUCCCACCUUGUGUCCAUUGCAAGAAGACUACUCAUCUUGAGAAAUACUGCUGGUACAGACCAGACAUUCAAUGUAGAGCCUGCAAGCAAUUUGGCCACAUUGAAAAGGUCUGUAAGAGCAAGCGAAAACCACAACCACAAUUUCAAAGCCAAGCUCAAGCUGCAGAAGAGGUUGAAUCACCAGAAGACCAUGUCUUUUCAGCAUCAUGCUUUGCAAGCUCGAGCAAAGUUAGUAAAAUAUGGCUGAUUGACAGUGGAUGUACCCACCAUAUGGCUUCUGAGAAGAGUAUAUUUAAGGAGCUUGACACCACCUUCAAGUCCAAAGUCAAAAUUGGCAAUGGUGAGCUGCUGGAGGCAAAAGGGAAAGGCAAGGCUUUGAUAAGCACUAAGUCAGGUAUUAAAACCAUUUUAGAGGUUCUCUAUGUACCUGACAUUGACCAAAACUUGCUAAAUGUUGGCCAGCUAUUGGAUAAGGGUUACUCUCUGAUUUUUGAAGGCAAAAACUGUUUGAUCAAAAAUGCUGCUGGUGAAGUGUUGACUACAGUGGCUAUGCAAGACAGAACCUUCAUUGUGGAUGUGAAUCAACUGCAAGCCAAGGCAUACGCAUCUCAGUCUGAUGAGACAGACUUGUGGCACAGGAGGAUGGGGCAUGUGAACUACAAUUCACUGAACAUACUGCACAAAAUGGAUUUGGUCAGUGAUAUGUCCAAAAUUGAGCCAAAGGAUGCUGUAUGUAAGGUCUGUCAGCUAGGCAAACAGACCAGAUUACCCUUUCCAGUCAACAAGGCAUGGAGAGCACAAGGGAAGCUUCAGCUUAUUCAUACAGACAUCUGUGGACCAAUGAAGACUACCUCCUUAAAUGGCAGCAGGUACUUUGUACUCUUCAUUGAUGAUUAUUCAAGGUUCUGUUGGGUAAAUUUUUUGAAGCAUAAGUCAGAUGUUUAUGACUUUUUCUGCAAAUUUAAAGCCUUGGUCGAAAACCAAGCAAAUUGCAAACUAAAAUGUUUGAGGUCUGACAAUGGUUCUGAGUAUGUAUCUCAGAAGUUUCAAAAAUUGUGUGAUGAUGCUGGAAUUCAACACCAAUUGACUACUGUGUACACACCACAGCAAAAUGGUGUUUGUGAAAGGAAAAACAGAACAGUCCUUGAUAUGGCUAGGUGUUUGUUAUUUGAGGCUAAAAUGCCUAAUGUUUUUUGGGCUGAAGCUGUGAAUACAGCUAUUUACCUGUUGAAUAGGUUGCCAACUAAUGCAGUCAAAGGAAAAACUCCCUUUGAAGCCUGGUUUGGACAGAAACCAUCUGUCUCUCAUUUGAAGGUAUUUGGCUGUCUAUGUUAUGUGUUGGUACCUGAGGAGAGAAGAACUAAGUUAGACAGGAGGUCCAUGCCUGGGGUGUUUGUUGGCUACAGCAAUGUGAAGAAAGGAUACAGAGUCUUUGAUCCACUGACCAAGAAGGUUGUAGUGAGCAGAGAUGUGAAAUUCAGUGAAGCAAGUAGCUGGAAAUGGGAUGGAAUUGAAGCAAAUUUGCCAGAUGGAGAAGAGAUUGAUGUUGAUCUGCAGUAAGCUGAAAAUGAAGAAGUAACUGAAAAUGGCUAUGAUGAUGAACCUGUUCGAGGCACUAGGACAUUAACAGACAUCUAUGAGAGAUGUGCAGUAACCAUAGUAGAGCCUUCAUGUUUUGAAGAAGCUGCAAAAGAAAAGUGCUGGCAGGAUGCUAUGGAAACUGAAUUUAAAAUGAUUCAGAAAAAUGAUACAUGGGAGCUUGUGGAUAGACUUGAAAACAGAAGAAUCAUUGGUGUCAAAUGGGUCUUUAGGACUAAAAACAAUGCUGAUGGUACUUUGAACAGACACAAGGCCAGAUUGGUUGUAAAAGGUUAUAGUCAGCAGCAAGGGGUUGAUUUUUCUGAGACUUUUGCACCUGUUGCAAGGUUGGACACUAUCAGACUGCUGCUUGCUUUGGCAGCUCAAAAGCACUGGAAGGUGCACCAUUUAGAUGUUAAGUCAGCCUUUCUAAAAGGCUUUCUUAAUGAAGAAAUAUUCACUGAGCAACCUGAGGGUUUUGAGGUCCCUGGUGAAGAACAGAAGGUUUACAAGUUGAAAAAGGCCUUAUAUGGCCUAAAACAGGCUCCAAGAGCCUGGUAUGAGAGGAUUGAUGGCUACUUAGCAAUGCUCGGGUUCACAAAGAGUAUCAGUGAGCCUACACUCUAUGUUAAGAAGGAUCAGAAGGAAACUUUGCUAAUUGUUUCCUUGUAUGUUGAUGAUCUGCUAGUCAUUAGCUGUAAAGAUGAACUGGUAGAAGACUUUAAGAAGCAGAUGCAACAUGUCUUUGAGAUGACUGACCUUGGUCUAAUGACCUAUUUUCUUGGUAUGGAAAUCAAACAAGGAAGUGAUGGUAUUUUCAUAAGUCAACAAACAUUUGCUUCCAAGGUGCUUGAAAAAUUUUGCAUGUUGAAAUGCAAAUCAGUCACUACACCAGUUGCAUUGGGGGAAAAAUUAUCAAGUGUCAGUGAGCAUGAUCGAGUAGAUGAGAGAGCAUAUAGAAGCUUAAUUGGUUGUUUGCUUUAUUUAACAGCAACUAGACCAGACAUUGUCUAUACUGUUAGUCUACUUUCAAGGUUUAUGCACUGCAGUAAUGUGGCACAUUUGAAGGCAGCAAAAAGAGUGUUAAGGUAUGUCAAAGGAACCAUCGAUGCUGGUGUAAAGUUUUGGAGGGCAAAUGAGCUGAAACUCUUAGGCUAUUCUGAUAGCGAUUGGGCAGGGUCAGUUGAUGACAUGAGGAGCACUUCAGGUUAUUUUUUCACCUUAGGCUCGAGUGUUUUCAGCUGGAGUUCGAAGAAGCAACAAACUGUUGCACAAUCUACAGCAGAGGCUGAGUAUAUCUCAGCUGCAGCAGCUGUGAACCAAGCCAUUUGGCUUAGGAAGAUUUUGGAUGAUUUGAAUGAAAAUCAAGCUCAGCCUACUGAGAUUAGAGUGGAUAAUCAAUCAGCUGUGGCCAUAGCCAAGAAUCCAGUAUUCCAUGGUAAGACUAAACACUUCAAAAUCAAAUUCCAUUUUGUUAGAGAAGCUGAGCAAUCUAGGGAGGUUAGCUUAGUUCAUUGCAGCUCAGAAAUUCAGCUAGCUGACAUUUUAACUAAACCAUUGGGAGCCAACCGAUUUAAUGCUUUGAAGGAAAGGAUUGGUGUUUGUUGCAUACAGACCAAGGAGGAGUGUUGAAGCCGUGGCCUGCAUUGCAACAAAGAACCAACAGCAACAAAUUGGUCAAAAGACCAGCAGCAGCAAAUUGUACAAUUUUAGCUGCUAUACUGUUUUGUAGCAAAGAAAUGGAGUUGGUUCAGUUAUAAAAUUAUUUUUUGAAUACUUGUUCCUAUGGAACUUAGCCUAAAUCUUUGUAAUGAGUUAGCUAAGUUAGUAGGAAAGAUUGACUGAUGUAAUAGCUGGUAUGCCAGCUUUCUUUUGUAUACAAGUUGCUAUAUUUUUUAGUAAGUAUUAAGUAAGAGCAGUUAAAUUAGUAGGUAACUGUCAAAUACUUUUGUAACCUUCAUAUAUUCAAAAUUUGAAUGAAACUAUGAUGACUUUUCAUUUUACAAAUUUUCUUGCUGAGUUCUUUUCUUUUGUUUUUCUUUCAUUCGUUUUUUUCUUUCUUUGCUACUGCCAUUUAUCCAACACUACUUCUUCGUGUAGUCAAACUAUUCAGUGAAUCAGUGAUGUCUUUCACCUUCGUGAUCAUAGAAUUAUUAAACUGAAAAGAAGUGGGAGGGAAAAUACUACGAAUAAUCCUUUCAGGAAUGAAUUUCCGGAUCUUACUAGGUCUGGCUUGAGCUUGAGUGUCUUGGAGAUUGAGGCGUAACUCUUCAUAAGCAAACUCGUCCAAGAUGUCAUCCACAUCGUAAGCCAAGUCCUGGAGAUCCUCCAACCAUUUCUUCACACCCAUGUUCUUGAUCUGCUUCUCCUCUGCAUCGUCCAACACUGCUUGGAUAUCAGGCAAUAUGGACUGCCACUGCUUGAGCUGCUGGUGGAGUUGGUAGUGAUCAGCAACAAAGUUGAGUGCAGAGUCAAGCGAUUUGCCCACCAACAGGUCCAGGAACCCAGAAAGAGCAGCCUCUCCAAUGACAGACAUGGUGGAAUUGUGAGAAAUAAGGUGACAAGAGAAAUGAGCAAAGCCAAAAUGGAAAGCCAGGGAACAAAAAAGAAGGAAAGGGAAAUGGAAUCUGCAAAAUUAGAGAAAGUUGAAGAAAUUGGCACAAUAUCCUUGAAGCAUGUAAUAUAAUAAUUCAGACUAUGAGCAAUGAGUUGGAAGUCACUGGGUACAGAUAAAGAAGCUGCUUUUCGUGUUAAUGGGAAAGGAAAAAUGGAAAUGAUUUGAAUUUUGAUGCUCUUCUUUUCUCUUACUUUUGGUCAUUAUCCUAAAUUGACCUUCACCGUAUAUGUAAUUUAAUUAAGCAUCAAAGUAUUAUAUUCCUCACAACUUUAUCGCCAAAAUAUCGCCAACACCAAUACUCUAAAUUUUUGAAUCACAAAUAUUUACAUUAUUUAGCAUAUAGAAAAAAAUCCAAAAUUAAAUGAUAAUUUUUACAAUUUUAUAAUUUUAAUAGUCUGUAUCUUUAUAAAAUUUAAAAGAUUAUAUCAUAUUUUUAUCAUAUUUAGGGGAGCAAAGUAUAAUUUUAUAUUUACUAAUUUAAAAUUUUAAAAUAUUUAAAGAGUCUAAAUGAAAAAUUUUUCAUUUUAGAGGACCUUGCCAACCCCCUAGCUACGCCCGAGAUUGGUUGUAGCUAUAUUGUUAAUUAGCUUACUAUUUUACUAUUUAUAGUAUUAUUUAAACUUAUGACUAGUUGAUGUCACGAAUUAAUCGGGUACCAACUUGGUUAAAGAAAAUAUGAAAAUGUCACUCUAGUCUUUUUAUUAUAAAUAAAAAUAAAAAUUUGUGCAUGGGAUUUUGAACCCAUACCAACUAUAUUAAUAAAUUAUUAAUUUACCAUUCAACUAAAACUUUAAUAUUUUUAUACAUUUUAAUUUUAUUGUGCACACUUUAUUGUUAAUUAAUUUCAAACCUUAUGCAUUAAUUAUUUAUUGCAUGUUAUAUUCAAACGCACACUUAUAUUCUAAAUAUAUGAUUCCCGAACAUACAUGUGUGAUAAGUAUACUAAUUGUAACCUGUCUUCCUAAUUGUUGUCCUAAUUUAUGAUUUGCUUUCUUACUAGAUCUGUGAUACGAGCCAAGGAUGUGACACUCAAAGGGUUGUCUUUUCUAGUGGUUCAAUCACUCGAAGCAAGGCACGUCAAUUAAAAUCAAAGAUGAAUGCUUUUGUCCAAGACUUUGUUGCUACAAAUUUAAUUCAUCAUGUUCGUGACAUUGACAAAUACGGGAAUGCAAUUCACUGGACCAAUCUUGGAAUAGUGAAAGCCCAUAAAUUGGUGGAUUAAUCUUUUUUGUAUCUUAUUAUUAUUAUUAUUUACUUAAUUCUCAUUGGUUAGGACAUAUCAUUUAUGAGUUAAGUAAUUUUAUUGGUUAGGUUAUUAUUUAUUUAUUUUCUUAGAUAAUUUUAAAGAGUUUUAUUAGGAUUCAAUUACUUUUUAAAGAGUUUUUAUUAGGAUUCAAUUGCUCUUGAAAGAGUUUUAUUAGGAUUCAAUUACUCUUGUAAUUUGCCUAUAAAUAGGCUUGUUUGUUAUUAUUUAUUUAUUUUCUUAGAUAAUUUUAAAGAGUUUUAUUAGGAUUCAAUUACUCUUUAAAGAGUUUUUAUUAGGAUUCAAUUACUCUUGAAAGAGUUUUAUUAGGAUUCAAUUACUCUUGUAAUUUGCCUAUAAAUAGGCUUGUUUUCUACACAUUGGGGGAGGAAUAAAAGAAGAGCAUUUGUUUUCUUUCAAAUUUGUGUGAGGCAAAUUUUUGGGAGUAGAGUGAUUCUUCUCUUGCUAUUUAGUUUGGAGUUUGUUACUUUCGAGGGUAUUUCGGAGUUGCAAAUAUUCAAAUUUCUUUCCCGUUCAUCGGUGUUUCUAGAGGUUCUUCUUCUAGGGGUUUCGUAGGGAGCCGCUCAAUCAUUGCGUUUUUGGUUACAAGUUAACCAAGGGUUCUAUAGGGCAAAUCUAUCAUUAUUAUUAUUAUUAUUAUUAUUUAACUAAUUUUAUUUAUUCUCGUUUUUUUUAUUUCUAAUUUGUGUUUCUCUUGUGUCUAGAUCCGGGAUUCCGCAUCAAUCUGUUAGCCAAACUCAAAUUAUCUUCCUUUUAGAUCAAUUAAUUGACUUAAACCUAACUCAAUUACAUUUCUUUCUAGAGUGAUUAACUAAAAUAAUCGACCGAGAUUGUUUCUAUUAUUAUAUUUAUGAAAUCAUGAUGGUUUAGUUAUUGGUAUUUUUUGUUGGGGUUAGGUUAAUUUAAUUUUCAAUUUUUCUAAACUAAAAUUUACAUCUAGAUUUGAUGAUGAUUGAAAACAUUUCUGUCUUUUUGGGUUGAAAACAUCACUGGAAAUGCAAAAGGAGAGAAGGUGAAGCCUUUCAAAUUCUCCACAUGGCAAAUGGUGCUGACAUGUCAGAUGGGCCGCUGUGCCAUACUAUGUUAGAAAAAUUAUAAAAACAUUUUAAAAUUAAUAAAACAUAUAUAUACAUCUAGAAUGAAUCUGGACAAAUGGUUAUCCCAAUUCAAAUGAAUUUGGACAAAAGAAUAUAGCCUUUAUACCAAAGCAAUUAGUUUUAUAUUAGAGGUAUUAGAAUUCACGUUCUAUUUUGUUAAUCUACUUAUACAUGUUAUCUAAUAUGUUAAUUUUGUCUCAAAUCCGAAAAUAAUUGGUGCUCAAAAUGAUUCAAACCCAAGAUGACAUAAAUUUGAGAUGACCCUAUUUGAAAAACUUGAAUGGCAAACUCAAAUGGUCGUAACCCAAAAUGGCUCAAACAUGAAACAACUUAAACCCAAAAUUGACCCGAACCAUAAUGACUCUCUAUUUAUAGCAAUAAUAGAAAGACAAAAUAGUAAAUAUGCAAGGGCAAAAGAGUAAAAACCGUAGGGUUACCAUUUCCACGCAACAGUAAAAGAUAUAUUCUGUUGCCAAAUUUUUCGCAACCGUCAAAAAUCAAAAAAUGUUUUAAAGAAAUUAUUUUCUGGAAAAUAAUAUUGAUUAAAAUUAGAGAUAAAUUAUGGAUGAAAAUAUUGAAUUAUUUCAAAUGAUGAAGAGCAACUUUAAUAAUGUAGAGGGACUGGAUCUUGUGUACCUAGGAUGAUACUUCGAAGGCUAUUCUCAGAAGAGUCGAUCUGUAGCUCAAGUGGUACCAUAUAUCUCAACAAUUGACCUAUAUUCAAUAGGUUAAGGGUUCGAAUCUCAUCAAAUGUCGCCUCUUAGUAGUGAUUGUAAGUCCACAUACGGUCAAUGCACCCCUUUUUGUGAGUUGUACAUGGCUCUCCAAUGAUUGGGAAACAAAACCCUUUCACAGGUGACAAUACCUUCUGUUGUUGAGAGACUGGAUCGGCAUCCCCAAAGACGACACUUCAAAGACUUCUCUCGAAUAAGCCGUUCCCAUUAACAAAUAAAUAAUUAUUCUACACAACCCUAUUCUAUCUUUUAAAUUUAUUAUUUUGUCCCUUAAGAUAUCCAUUAAUCUUUUUAUGUAUUUCUAAUAUACAUCCUAUAUAUAUAUAGUAAAAUGAUAUAUAUAUAUAUAAUCUACACUAAAUAUGAGAAGAUUAUAAAUAUAAUAAUCUAUAAUUUUUAUUUAUAUAUGCCUUUUUCCAACUACGGCGUUCUGAUUAUUUUUUUUAAAUUCUUUUUCAUUUUUUGACCAGUCCUAUUUUAUGAAAAUUCAGAUGUGUAUAUGAAAAUAUAAUUUCAUAUAUUAUUUAUCAUUCACAUUCAAAUCCAAUUAACAUAAACUUGAAGAUUCAUUUCUAACUCAUUAGUUAUUAUUUGUAAUUUCCUCUUCAUUUUCUUUCCCAUUUUCGAUUGUGUAACACGCAUGAAUCUGGAUGAAAAAAAUACAAUAGUUUAGUUGAAAUGACAAAGUUAAGACUUUGCAGAUAUGAGUAUCUUAAUAAUUUAUUUUGGAUUUAAACUAUCUUUUUUAUAGAUUUUAUAUAAACACAUAAAUAAAAAGACAAAAAGCAAACUCAUAAUAUUAUUUGUACCUUUUAAAUAGAAACCACUUUUUUUGAAGUUAUUUUUUAACUAAAUUGAUAUUUAGUUAAACUCGUGACUCCAACUCAAUUAGAUAAUUAAAUAUAGUAUAAAUAACAAAAAAUAGAAUUGAAAUUGACAUACACAUAUGUUGUGUGUAGCCUUAAAUACUCCUCUUUCAUGGUGUUCACCUCAAUUCAGGGGCGGAGCUAAAAAUAUUUUUUAGAGGCUGAAAUAAAGUUGUAUAUUUUUAUGAUGCAAAAAUGAAAUUUUCUUAUUUUAAUAACUUAUAUCUUUAUAAUUUUUAAAGAAUCAUAUCAUUUUUUUCUCAUUCUUGAGGGGGUCAAAGUGUAAUUUUACCACAUACUAAUUUUAAAAAAUAAAUUAUAAAAGGACUAAAGGUGAAAAUUUUCAAUUUAGGGGGAUCGAGGCCCCUGCCAACCCCGUUGGCUCCACCCCUGCCUCAAUUCCUUGCAACUUCUGCUUAUUUAACAAAAAAAAUAGAAAUGUAAUUAUUAUUGUCGACUGAGUCUUAACUCAGUUGGCAUCAACAAUUUAAAAAAAAAAAUUUGGAACAUGCUUUUUCAUUUAAAAUAUGAAAAUUAAAAUAUAAGAAAAAAAACUCACUCACCUCAUUAUCAUAGAAAAGUCUUCACUCACCUUUCAGCUUUUUUUUUUUUAUUAAAAAAACCUCUCAUCCUUCGACUUCUUUUUUCUUCUUAAUUUUGAAUUUAUUGAAUGAUAAAUUUUUACUUGUAGAGUUUAUUAAUCAACAUUUUAUAUAAAUGAAUAUUUUUAUAUUUGAAAUUUAUUUAUAUAAAUAUAUUAAAUAUUUUAAAAAAUAUCGAUAAAUUCGAAAUUGUACAUGAAAUAAACUAGUACUAAUAUGUACCGAUUUUCAUAGAAAAGUAGUGCAUCCACCAAUGUGGUAAUGGCUACCUUGAAAGGAACUAUGUGGCAUACUUGUUUGCAAAUAAAUGGGUUAAACCAUGUUGAGUUAGUAUUGUGGGUAGCUAUAAUGUUUGAUGUUUUGUUUUCUAUGAAUAUUUUGUUUUGAUGAUUUUGAUUUGUGCUGAUAUUUGAGUGCAACCAUUGGGAUAUAUAUGGCUACCUGAAUUUUUAUGAGUUGCUAUACAUUAAUUUACUGUGGUUGUUUUAUUAAUAAAUUUAUGUUUUGGAUUAAGAAAAAAAAUUAAGAAAUUCAAACACAAAAAAGAAAGUAGGGAAAGUGAACACAAUGAUAUACGUGGUUCAGGAAUAAUCCCUACAUCCAUGGGCAGAACCAAAAAUGAAAUUCACUAUUAAGAAAUGGAGAUUACAAUGGAAUUACAUCAUAAAAUAAAAUACCUCGCCAAUAAUUAUCCACAAACUUGGAGCAAUUUUCUAAAUGAACAUCAGCUAUACACUUUCCGCGUUUUGAGAAAUACAUGGCAAUAAUAAAUAACAAGUGACCAACAAUCUCAAAAUGUCGAAAACAAUACUUUAUUUAAAGCAUCCUAGUCUCUUAUCAAUCAUCAAUGGAGACCUAAGACAGAUUCAAGAUUUGUGUAGAUAGAAAUAGUUGAUACUAAAAGCAUUAGAAACCAAACUUACAAUGUUGUGCCGUUGUUGUGCCCAUAAGCUGGUAUUGCCCUCUUUGGAUGCCCACCAUUCAAGGGUUUAUCACCCAAAGGUACGUACACCUCCCCAGUGGUACCAUUUGGCCUUUUAUCUGCCACCAAUUUCAUGGUUCCAAAAGCUGAAUGAAAGUACAAGGCUAAAUAAAUAGCAUAUUUGGCUCCACAACUACAACUUUGUACCAUGCACCAAAAUAUGAUCCAACACAAGAAAGGAAUGUCAGAAGAACAAAUUCUCCAUAUAACCUAUACUUACCCUAUCAUAAACAUUGAUAACAUCACAGUUGAAGCCUUUCAAAGCAGGGGAAAUUCAUAUAAAGAUUGGUAGAAAAUAUGCCAAUCUACCGGACCGGAAAGCUGAAAAGCAACAUUAAAAGAGAGCUGCAAUGAAACUAGUUCCAAACUGCUGCAGUAUAUAUAUCAUUUGAUUCAUUUAACUCAUACCUCAAAGUCAAAAGCAAGAGAGUCGAUAUAUAGCGAGUCACUUAGUCGCUGCUAUUUUUGGGAACACUGAGGCUGGAAGUGAAAACCCCAAAUUGCACCUCAGUGAACUCUGUUGUGUUUAUGUUAAAUUGAGCUCUCUAAUGCCAUGUUGUAACGUGUACUGUAUCCCUUCAUUCAUCCUGCAACGAUCAAUACCAUGUUUACAGUGAUGACGAAAUCUGUUGGCACUGAUAUCCUUAUGCAAUAACAGAAAUCUAUCCACAAAGAUCAACAAACUAUCACGCAAAAGACUUGUUCUUCUGAAACACCAUUGGUUAAUAGUACAACGAAAUCUCAGAUACUUUUAACUAAAAUCCCAUUCCCAUAUACCAAUUUCAUAGCAACUGCUUAGAAAUUAGAAGAUGCAGAUGAAAACAGAACAUUCAAUUUGCUGAAUAAAUGUUGCAGAGAAUUGACUAACCGCUUUACUAAACCAAAUAAGCUGAAGCAAACCAGUUGAAGGUCUCCUCUAUUUUUCGCCAGUUUAGCCUUCAAUGCCUGCAAAAAGUAAAUACAAAAUAUAUAACACCAAUUUCUAUUAUCGUGUUGUUCAUGAGGACAAUCAGAUAUAUAUAAAGAAAAGGUAUGAAAUUGAUAAAUGUUUAAAAUGCGUUUCACACCUGUGGUUUGAGUGUGGAGAAAUCGAUGCCAGAUUUUGCUGCUUAAAUUUCAAUUUAAUUCCCUCGGGAUGACUGUUUCCAUAUCAAUUAGAACACAAGGUAUGUGGGCAAUCUUGGACCACUCUCGUCCUUUACCCCUACUGCACCCUUCUUCUAGCAACGGGCAACGCUGAAUACAUAGAUGCUCAAGCGAGAGAAGCAUAUCUUUUUCCGGAAGAGAUGUGAGCUUAGGACAAUCAUAGAUUCGCAAUUUUUGAAGAGAGGUCAGGUAUUGAAAGCCCUUGGAGCACAUGAAUUCCAAAUUCUCUGUAUUUAUAUUCAGAUAUAUAUAGUGGGUAAUUAAGCAUUUUAUUGACAUACAAUAACCUUUUAUGUUAAAUGUUCGAAUCUGGACUUGAGCUAAGAAUAAGUGUCGAAUAUCGAUAUAUAUUAAUAUAGAUGUGAUGAAUUUUUUAAAAUCGAGAAACAUUCCUCUUAUAUAAAUAUUCAAAUUUGUGUCAAACACGCAUAUAAAACAUAAUUACUUUAGAAAAAAAUGGAUUAAUAUAGGGAUAUAAAAUGUACCUGUAAUCGAGAUCUUUUAAGCUGCUCCAUUAGAAUUUGCUCCUACAACAAUAAAACUUCAGUUUCUAGUGCUCACAAUUAGGCUCCUAAUGAGAUUAUUUUAAGUUUGUGUUUGUAGGAGAGUUACUAAACAUACUAAAUUUAUGUUUGUUUGGAGUUAAUAUUGAUUAAAAUUAGAGAUAAUUUAUGGAUGAAAAUAUUAAUUUAUUUCAAAUGAUGAAGCAUAGCAACUUUAAUAAUGUUGAGGGAUUCGACCGGCGCAUUCAAGGAUGAUACUUCGAAGAUUUCCCUCAAAGGAACUGAUCUGUAGCCAAGUGGUACCAUAUACCCCAAUAAUUGACCUAUAUUCAAUAAGUUAGGGGUUCGAAUCUCACCAAGGGCGAGACGCUCAAGUCGCCUAUUGGUGGGUGGUUGUACGUUCAUAUACGGUCAAGGCGUCCCUCUUUGUGAACCGUACAUGGCUCUCCGUAAAGUGGGGGACAAAACCCUCUCCUAAGGGACAAUACUUUUCAUUGUUGAGAGACUGGAUCGAUAUCCCCAAAACCGAUUUUUUGAAAACUUCUCUUGGAGAAGCCAAUCCCCCUCAACAAAUAAAUUACACUACACAACCCUAUUUCGUCUUUUAAAAUUAUUAUUUUGUCCCUUGGGAUAUAUCCAUUAAUAUUUUCUGUAUUUCUAAUAUACAUGCUAGAUAUAUAUACUAAAAUGAUAUAUUUAUAUAAUAUGAGAAGCUUAUAUAUAUAAAUAUAAUUUGUAGUAAUAUUAAUGCCAGUACCUUUUGUUGCUCAACUGAUGCCAUCCCUUCGUUUAAUUGAUUCUCCAGCUGUUUUAAUUCUUUGAAACUCAAAUCAUCUAGUUCCUUUCCAAUUAAGCCUCCUGCAAAUCACACCUCAAAUUUUACCUAAUCAAAUACUUAUUUAUUUAUUUAUUUUUUUACGUAUUAACAACUAUCACUCGUAUUUAUACAUAUUCAGAUAUAUGUAUGAAGAUGUAAUUUCACAUUUUAUUUACCAUUCACAUUCAAAUCCAAAUAACAUAGACUUGAAGAUUUAUUUCUCACUCAUUAGUUAUUAUUUGUAAUUUCUUUUAUUUUCCUUACCAUUUUUUUUAAUUGUGAACGCUUAGUUGAAAUGACAAAAUUAAGGUUUUGAAGAUACGGGUAUCCUAAUGAUUUAUUUUGAAUUUAAACUAUUUUUUUUAUAGAUUUUAUAUAAAUACAUAAAUGAAAAACAAAAAGCAAACUCAUAAUAUUAUUUGUUAUCUUUUAAAUAAAAACCCUUUUUUAAAGUUAUUUUUCAACUAAAUUGAUCUUUAGUUAAACUCGUGGCUUCAACUUAGUUAGAUAACUAUAUAUAGUAUAAUUAACAAACAAUAAAAUUGAAAUUCACAUACAUGUAUGCUGUGUGUAGCCUUAAAUACUCAUGUUUCAUGGUGUUCACUUCAAUUCCUUGCAACUUCUGUUUUUUUAACAAAAAAAAACGCACACACAAUAUUAGAAAUAUAAUUAUUAUUUUCGAUCGAGUCUUAAUUCAAUUGGCAUUGAUAUUACUAUCUAUGCAAAGAGGACACUAAUUAAUAUAUAUACACACCUCAACUUGUUGCACAUCAAAAGGGUGUUCUUGAGAAUGAUCUUCUUCCAUUUCUUUGUUGUAUCUCGAAAGAGUAUGUUCCAUGCUACAUUCAUAAAAUGUCAUGUUUAAAAAAAUAACAAUAAAUUAAAAAUAAAAUUCUAACUCAUUAUUAGGGUUUAGGUUUUGGGCUUGAGUCGAUCAAAUUUAUGACAAGUUAUUCUUAGCUUAUCGUAACUAUUUAUGUAUCAAUUUUUGUUUUAAUACGAGUAUGUGUUGUUCUGUUUUAGUAUAUAGUUUCGUAAGUAUCAUUUUUAAAUAUUUCUUAAUUAUAAUAUGUAAAUAUAAAUUUUAAAAUUAUUAAUUAAGUUCAAUAAUUUAAUAAAUGGUUAUAUAUUAUUUUUUAAAGCAAUUAUAUAAAAAAGUAGUUAAGAAAGAAAAGGGAAAUAUUAAAAACUCCUUUAUAGGAAUUAAUACUCACCGAUACAAGCAUAUAUUAAUUGAAAUGAAUCAAAACUCAAUGAAAUUUUAAUUGAAGUGAAACUUAAAUCAUUUUAUUCUAGUUUAAUAUCGAGAUGAUUCGUAACGAUUGAUACAACCAGUAUCGAAACUACUGACUACCAUGCUACAAAGCGAAAAGAAAAAUAAUGAAAACCAAUCAAAUUACAACUCAACUUACUUUCAUGCUUUAAAAAAAACAGUUCUAAAAAUAAUCAUCCAAGAAAAUAAAUAUAUAUAAGUUUUAUAGACCGUUACAAACUAAUAUACACUCAUAUAAGUCGAUAUUAACUGAAACAAAUCAAAACACAAUAAAAUUUUAACUGAAACGAAACUUAAACUACUUUAUAUUAAUUCAAUAUUGAGACGAUAGCCAAUUAUUAAGAAAAGAAAAAUAAUGGAAAUCAAUCAAAUUAUAGGUCAACUUACUUUCAUGCUUAAAAAAAAAUGCUAAAAUUAAAAAUUGAAAAAAACCCAGAUUUCGAUUAUUAAAAAUAAUCUAUAAUAUAUAUAUAUAUAAGUAUUAUACUAUAUGAUAUACCUAGUGCUGGACCAUUGAUAGACCUUGCCGGUGCUUGAAAAAAUAAUAACCCCAACCUCUGCGUCACAUAAAAUGGACAAUUCUUUAGCUUUCUUCAACAACCCAUUUCGCCUCUUUGAAAACGUUACUUGCCUGCUAUUCAAAUUUUCAAUCUUUUUUAUUUCAAUUUUCCCUCUACCCAUCUCAAAAUUUUCUUCUUUCCUUUACUUUUUCCCGGAAAAUUUUUAAAAGAAAAGUUAAACCCCAGAUUUUUUUUCCUUAAAUUUUGAAAAAAAACCAAAGGUUUUUAUAACAACAAACAGAUCAAAGAAAAGAAGGCAAAAAAUUUAGGGGAUUGUAAAAGGAUUCUUUUUUUAAGAGAAAAGAAAAUAAGUAAGUAAUGUUUAUAUAUAACAGUUGUUUUCUUAAAUGGAAAUGGAAAAUGAUAUGGAAAAAGAAAAUAUGUGACCAAAAUUAGGGUGAAAUCUUGAAAGGUGACAGAUUUGAUACUAUAUCUACCAAUUAUCCAACUAUGGAAACUCUAUUUAUUAUACCUUUAGUUUUUUUUUUCUAUUUUUCUUAAUUUCUCUACCUUUUUACUCUCCUGUUUUUGGUAUUUCAACUCAAAAUGGAUUUUAUUUUUGCUUUGGGUUUCUUUUUUCAAAUAUAAAAAGUGGUUUUUAAUUAUUUAUAUAUUAUUAAUGUGUUUUAACAAUUUUUGUUAGUGAAUAUUGAUUUUUUUUUUGUGAAUUACAAUAGGAGGGCAAAGCCCUAAUAACAACACGACUAGAGCGAUUCGAAUUUAGGCCACACCUGAGACGUUGAACACAAGUAUUUCACGAGGACAUAUAACACAUGUUUUUUUUUUUAAAUUCAUGGCUAAAAUAAUAAAAAAAACCUCUUUAUUUUAUUGUAUUCAAAUAAUAAUAAAAAACCACAGUUUUAGUCGUACCGGCCGGUGCCGCCGUUCUACUGUUAUAGUGCAACAAGCAACACCCUUUUCCAUACUAAUGAAAAUUUUGGUUUGUACCGUUCGCAUUGGCCGGAACAUGGUACACCUGCUGCUGCAUAAAUAAUGUUAAAAAAUAUAAAACUUUUAACUAUUUUCUAUUAGACUAAAUAUUUAAUUGAAAUUGACCAAUAAAAAAAUUAUUGCACUAGAAAGUGAAGUUUAACAUUUAAAAUUUUUUUUGGAGCAUACUUUUUCAUUUAAGAUAUAAAAAUUAAAAUAUAAUAAAAAAACCCACUCACCUCGUUAUCAUAGAAAAAUCUUCACUCGCCCUUCAGUUUUUUUAUUGAAAAAACCCCCUCAUCCUUUGAUUUCUUUUUUUCUACUUAAUUUUAAAUUUAUUGAAUAAUGAGUUUUUACUUGUGGAGUUUAUUAAUCAAUAUUUUAUAUAAUUGAUGAAUAGUUUUAUAUUAAAAAUUCAUUUAUAAUAAUUUAUUUGAUAUUUGUAUAUUUAUUUAUAUAAAUAUAUUAAAUAUUUUUAAAAAAUAUCGAUAAAUUCAAACUGAUACAUAAAAUAGACUAAUACCAAUACAUACCGGUUCUCAUAGAAAAGUGGUACUUAUACCAAUGUGGUAAUGACUACCUUGAAAGCAAGUAUGUGGGUGGCUAUAAUGUUUGAUGCUUUGUUUUCUUUGAAUAUUUUGCUUUGAUGCUUUUGAUCUGUGCUGAUCUUUGAGUGUUACCAUUGGGAUAUAUAUGGCUAUCUAAAUUUUUAUGAUUUGCUAUGCAUUGAUUGUGGUUGUUUUAUUAAUAAAUUUAUAUUUUGGAUUGAGAAAAAAAAGAAAAAGGGAUUCGAAACACAAAAAAAAAAGUAGAGAAAGUGAACACAAUAAUAUACGUGGUUAGGGAAUAUUCCCUACAUCCACGGGCAGAACUGAAAAUGAAAUUCACUACUAAAAAUUGGAGAUUACAAUGGAAUUACAUCAUAAAAAUAAAAUACCUUGCCACUAACUAUCUACAAACUUUGAAUGGAUUCAUGGUCUGAGAAAUUCUGAAAACUAAGAAGGACAUCUUUGAGAUUCGACAGAACAAUAUUUUGGGAACUUUGUUGUCUUACAUGUGUUAAAUUGAGCUCUCUAAUGCCAUGUUGUAACGUGUACUGUAUCCCUCCAUUCAUCCUGCAAGGAUCAAUAUCAUGUCUUCAGUGAUGACAAAAUCUGUUGGCACUGAUAUCCUUAUGCAAUAACAGAAAUCUAUCCACAAAGAUCAACAAACUAUCACGUAAAAGACUUUUUCUUCUGAAACACCAUUGGUUAAUAGUAUAAUGAAAUCUCAAAUACUUUUAACUAAAAUCCCAUUCCCAUAUACCAGUUUCAUAGCAGCUGCUUAGAAACUAGAAGAUGCAGAUGAAAACAGAACAUUCAAUUUGCUGAAUAAAUGUUGCAGAGAAUUGACUAACCGACUUUACUAAAUCAAAUAAGCUGAAGCAAACCAGUUGAAGGUCUCCUCUAUUUUUCGCCAGUUUAGCCUUCAAUGCCUGCAAAAAGUAAAUACAAAAUAUAUAACACUGAUUUCUAUUAUCAUGUUGUUCAUGAGGACAGUCAGAUAUAUAUAAAGUCAUGAGGACAAUCAGAUAUAUAUAAAGAAAAGGUAUGAAAUUGAUAAAUGUUUAAAAUGCGCUUCACACCUGUGGUUUGAGUGUGGAGAAAUCGAUGCCAGAUUUUGCUACUUCAAUUAAAUUUAAUGCCCUCGGAGAGAUGACUUUGCAUAUCAAUUCGAACAUAAGGUAUGUGGGCAAUCUUAAACCACUCUCGUCCUUUACCCCUACUGCACCCUUCUUGUACCAACGGGCAACGCUGUAUACAUAAAUACUCAAGCGAGAGAAGCAUAUCUUUUUCCGGAAGAGAUGUGAGCUUAGGACAUUGAUAGAUUCGCAAUUUUUGAAGAGAGGUCAGGUAUUGAAAGCCCUUGGAGCACAUGAAUUCCAAAUUCUCAAAAUUUUCAAUGGAAAUAAAUGUGAGAGAAGGAGGCAGCGUCAUUCCUAUCCCUUCUUCUGGAAACGACACCACAUUUGAGCAUCCUUCACCGCUGAUGUUGAGUCGCUGAAGAGAGGUAAGUCUGUUAAAUCCCCAUUGAACAAGUGAUGUAUAAAUUUUGGGUGCGUUUGAGAUUGCAAGUGAUGUGAGGUUGGCAGGGAAACCCUCUUCUGGAAAGGAUAUGUCAGCCGAACAAUAAGACACCUUCAAUUCUCGAAGGGAGGUGAAGUUGUUGAUGCACUUGGGAAGGACUCCAAAAUUUUCACAAUUCUCAAUUGCGAAAACUCUGAGAUUUGUGGUGGGCAACCCACUUUCUUCAAAUGAAACCAGAUUUGGACACCUAGAUAAUUUAAUCUCCUGAAGAUGGCUGAGCUUGUCUAAUCCCCGCGGUAAUGAUUUAAUUUUUUCAGCACCACGAAUGCCAAUGCUUUCGAGAUCAAUGGUUUCAAAGAAGUCUUGGGCUAUGCAUUCCAACACUGGACAAUCCCAAAUAAAUAGCUGUUUAAGCAUUACGGGUAACUUGGCGUUUAAAAAUAACCUAGUUAGCUUUUAACAACUUUCAAUUUCGAGAUGUUGAAGUCGAUUGCAUAUAUCGCCCCUUGAUAAUAACCAUAUUAGAGAUGGACAGCUUCUUAUUACUAAGUGCUCAAGAAGACAAGUGUUGCUACUCAUACUCUUAUUAUUAUUUUCUUUUUCAUCAACCAAAUAUUGCAAAUUCACGCAAUUCCCAAUCCUCAGCUCUUUUAAUGCAGGAGGAAAGUUACUCUCUGCAAAACAAACCAAGCCGGGACACGCUGCAAGUGUUAUUCUUGUAAUGAAUGGGAAAGCAUGUAAGGCUUCUGGUAGUCUAUUGAGCCUUCCACAAUUAUCUAUUGCCAGAGAUUCAACACCUGGAAUCUUGUCAAGUUGCAAUCUCUCCUCCUCUGUUUCCAAAGAGACCAAUUGGGGACAAUCCGCAAUACUAAUAAAACGAUGCCCGACUAAUCUUAACCCAAUUUGCGAUAAAGAUCCCAACUCCUUCCAACCAGAGACGUUGAAUCUUUCGGAGUUUGCAAACCUCAACAUUAUCCUCUCUGCUGAAAUGUUAAAAUUUGAAAUAUUUGAAACACACAAACUUUUAAAGGAGGUAACCUUCUGUACGGACAAAGAACCUUCAUCCACCAAUUCUUCACACCCUUCAACCCAUAUUUUACGCAGCAAGGGAAAACAAGAAAUUGAAACUACCAGUCUCUUACAGUUGUAGAUUUCAAGCGUCUGCAAGGAUUGAAGGAUGGUUGGCAACCUUCCCAGCAAUAGAGGACAUUUUCUGAUUGAAAGAAAACGAAGGCUGGGGAAUUUCGAUACUUGCUCAUCAUCUUCACAUAGGUCCCACUCCUCCCAAUUCAGCAUAUUGCCAAAACGCAGAGACUCUAAUGAUGCAAAAGUAUUUGAUUGAUUUUCUCCAAACAUCUCAGCACCAAUCUUGUGUACUUGAUCCAAACCACUAAUUGAAAGAUCUUUUAACAACAACAACCUUCCAAUCGAUGGUAGAGAUUUGCAAUUUUUACAGUCGUGAAGCUCCAAUGACAACAUAUUUUUGAAGGAAGGAUCUGCAAUCCAAGUAGAGAAUUUUGCACCACCAUAAUUCUCAAUGACGAGUUGCUCAAGCUUUUUUGGAGGACAAAGAGAGUCCAACACCCAUUCUUCAACUUCUUUAUUCCUUGAAGCAUUUUCAAACUUUUUCCUCCAAUGCAAUACCAGUCGAUCAAUCCCCUGCUUCUCAUAUAACUUGCUUUCCCCUGCAUCUUCACCAUUAACAUUCUCCAACCCAGAAAGACGGAAAUCACCUUCGAGGUUUGACAAAUAUUUCAAACCUCUAAUAUAACUACCAUCACCUUCCCCUAUUAUAAAAUCAGUUAAACUUUGAAGAUUCGUUAGCUUAUCAAUUCUAAAAGGAAUCCUUUCUAUUGAGUUCGCACCUCUGAUAUCAAGAUAAUGCAAGUUGACAAGAUUUCCCAUCUUUGAAGGUAACAUUUGAAGCUUGUAACACCACCUUAAUAAUAAGGUUUCUAAAUGGUAAAGAGUGCACAAAGAAUCUGGUAGGCAUUUGAUUUUUGUGCUCGAAAAAUUUAAGUAGCGAAGAUGUUUUAAAUUUUCAAAAACAUCAGGCAACUCAGUGAUUAUAUACCCACUCAAAGAAAGCAUCCUUAGGUAGCCAAGUCUUGGUAACAAAUCAUCCAAAACAACAUUAGUUAAAAAAGGGGCCCGAUAAUCACACAUUAAGGGUAAAAAAGUACGUAGAGAAUUCACUUGAUCAAAUGCUUCAAACUUCUUCACUGUGUCAUAUGUUCCAACAAUAUAAGAAGAAUGUCGAGUGCGAUUUGAGAACUUCCAUUUCUUAUCACCCUCUAAUUUUGAGCAUAUUUCCCCUGCAACUACUUGAGCUAAAUCAUUGAUAAGGUCAUGCAUUACGAAUCGGGACUUAUCUUUACUGGAUGUUUGAAAGAAUCGGGACUUAUAUUUACUGGAUGUCUGAAAAAAUGACCUGGACACUAGAUCUUGAAAAUAUUGAUUUCCGAGAUCUUUAAUUUGAGGCAUAGCUUUUUGUUGCAAGAGACCUUCUGCUCUCCAUAACAAGAUAAUUUCUUCUUCCCCAAAUUCAUAGUCUUUAGGAAGUAUGGAGCAAUAUGCAAAACAUCGUUUCAAGUAUGACGGAAGAUGAUGGUAGCUUAACCGCAAAGCUGGAAUUAUGCCACACUGCUCUUCUGGUAAGUUCCAUAUCUCACUCUCAUAUAGUCUUUCCCAUUUUCCAUGAUAUUUAACCGUGCGAAGCAAGCUUCCAAUGACUUUUGCAGCCAAAGGUAAGCCAUUGCACCUUCUAACAAUUUUCUUUCCAAUUUCUUUAAACUGGAGAUGUCCAUCGAAAUUUCUUGCUUUUAAUGCAUGCUGUGUAAAUAUGGAUAAACAAUCAUCAUCCGAUAGUUUAUCCAAAUGAAAAGCUUUGAGCGGAUCCACAAUAGAUGAAACAAUUUGAAGACGAGUGGUUACAAUGAUAUGGGUCCCUGCUCCAAACGGAGACCGUAAGAUGGUCCAAUCAUUAUAAUUUUCGUUCCAAAUGUCAUCUAAAACAAGCAAGAAUCUUUUCCCAGACAACUUCUCCUUCAACUUAACUUGAAGUAAAUUCAAGUCAUUCUCGUCAUGAGAGUCAGGAUCGAUAGAUUUUAAAAUUGUCCUGGUUAUAUUAACUGCGUCAAAAUUAUCAGAAACGCAUACCCAGGCCUUGUGGUGAAAAGACUGGUUGAAGGUGGCAUCAUUGUAAACAAGCUGAGCAAGAGUUGUUUUACCCAUCCCUCCCAUGCCGACGAUGGAAAGGACUGAAACUCCGUUGGAGUUAUCACCUUUGAGAAACUCAAUCAUUUCUGUCUUCUCCUUGUAUCUGCCAACAUACUCCAC
rnacentral:lncRNA from 1 species